GUGGUUGAAACUUGACCAUAAGUUCUCAUUUUGCAGGCACAAUCCAAUAUUGUGUCAAAGGAAAUACACUCAAUUGAUAUUGAUCCAUCUUGCCCAUAUCAGUUGGCAUUCCAUCUUGAUGAUGGUUGGUCAGGCAUUUUGGACAUCCAUAAUUUCCAAGUGACACAUGUUCAUUGUCCUCCCCCUCCUUGGUUGGAUGGUGAAAAUGUUUUCACCAACCUAUCAUGCUUGAGGAAACCAUCAUGGCUACCACCAUAUUCAAUCUAUGCUGUUGGAUCAGCAUAUAAUAAUGGAAUUCAUCUCUUAGACUUCUUUCCAAACCCCAGCUCUGCCUGUCAUGUCGACUAUGACGAGGAUACACAGCGUGAUCCUAGGGAAAACAGUCGGCAUAAGCAAAAUAGGUUUGUUCCGUUGUCUGAAGGUGUUACAGCAUGUGCGACUCAUCCACUCAACGGUACCAUUGUAGCUGGAACUAAGCAAUCAUCGUUGCUGGUGGUUUCUCAAAAACACUGGUCAGUAGAGGCAGAGACAACCGUGUGAGGAAUGAUGAAGACUAUUGGAAGCUCUGGACACAAAUUCAUUGCAUCAGUUGAGGAAACAUGCCCAAUGACAUCCGAGAAUCAAGAACUACUAGAGGAUUUCCGAUCGGCACUUUCAUGGAAAUACAAGUGCGCACUGCGAGGUGCAUAGGCUCUAAAUCAAUUAGUGCAAUUGGAGUUGAGCAUUCAUGCCUAGAAUAAAGGUUUAAAUUCUUUUGGCAGAAUCGGGAAAUUCUGAGGGAUUUAAUGAGCUAAUGUUCUUAUGUUGUACAAGGGCUGGUGGCAAGAUACUGUUUUGUAAUAUGUGGUUUAAGUUACCUGUGUAUUUAAAUGAAUGUAACUCAUAGGUCUUCAAUGAAAUCAAAUAUAUAUAGUUAUUUUUAUAUGAAA